CACGUAGGGUGCAAGCGUUGUCCGGAAUUAUUGGGCGUAAAGGGCUCGUAGGCGGUCCGUCACGUCGGGAGUGAAAACUCGGGGCUCAACCCCCGAGCCUGCUUUCGAUACGGGCGGACUAGAGGUAGGUAGGGGAGAACGGAAUUCCUGGUGUAGCGGUGGAAUGCGCAGAUAUCAGGAGGAACACCGGUGGCGAAGGCGGUUCUCUGGGCCUUACCUGACGCUGAGGAGCGAAAGCGUGGGGAGCGAACAGG
rnacentral:rRNA from 1 species